UAAAGGCGUGCGCCACCACCGCCCGGCUAAAUAAAUAAAUCUUAAAAAAAAAAAAAAAAAAGAAAUAGUGACUAAAAACCAUAAGGUUUACCAAUGACUUAAAAUUCCAUGAAGCUGAAGUACCAAUUUACUUAAAAAUUUAAUUUUACUAAAAUUAGCAAUCUCAUAAGCAUCUUUCUACAAAUCUUUCUUUUUCCAGAUUUCUUUAGAAUAAAGACCUAGUGAUUGGAUCAUCAAAAAACUGAAAUGAGCACUUGAAUAAAUACCUUGUAAACCUCUUGUUCUACAGAGAAGACUGACUUUCAGGAUAAUUAAGCAAGUGUGCUCAAGUCACAGCUAGUUAAGUCACCAAACUGGCAUAUAAAUUCUCUCUCUCUUAGAUUUGUAUACUUCAGACACUGUACUUGAUAUAAAUUAUUUCCAGGUCUGGGGACAUGGCUCCCUUGGUAAAGUAUUUGCCUCAAAUCCACAAAGCCCUGGAUUCGAUCCCCAGCACUACAUAAGGCAGAUGUGGUACUCCCACUGGGAAUCCCAGCAGUCUGAAGUACAGGUAGAGAGAUCAGGAAUUCAAGGUCAUUCCCAGCUAUGCAGGGAAUUCCAGGCCAGCUUGGGGUCUAAAUAAAGAAAUAAAUCUUA